CGACGACGCGGGAAACCAGCUCGCAGUCACCAACUCGACAGAGGUUCCAAUCCACCACGUCUUCACUAAGGAGGGAGGCAUCACGCUCCUGGUCAGCGCUUACUCCGAGGCCGAGGGCUGGGUGGCGCAGGAUCCGCCCCUCACCGUGGAGAUCAUGAGCAAGAUCCAGGGGCUGCAGUUUACGGACUUCAACCUUAUCACGCCCACGAACCAGACGAAGAGCUUCGGCGCCUCCUUCACGGUGCUGCAUCCUGUCACCUGCCUCGUCGUGGACUUCAACGACGGCUCGCCCCCGGAGGCCCACGGCGACACCAC